rnacentral:rRNA from 1 species
AGGGUUGGACGAGAUAAAGACUGUCUUUAUUUAAAUUAAAGUAGAAUUUAACUUUUAAGUCAAAAGGCUUAAAUUUUUAUAAAAGACGAGAAGACCCUAUAGAUCUUUAUUUAAUUAAUAUUUUAAUAAUUUAGGAUUAAUUUAAUUUAAAGUUUUAAUUAAAUUUUAUUGGGGUAAUAUAAAGAUUAAAAAAAUUCUUUUUAUUUAUUACAUUAAUUUAUGAAUAAAUGAUCCAAUAUUAUUGAUUAUAAGAUUAAGUUACCUUAGGGAUAACAGCGUAAUUUUUUUGGAGAGCUCAUAUCGAUAAAAAAGUUUGCGAC